rnacentral:snoRNA from 1 species
UUAACACUUUUACAGGUCCUCCCCUAGUCAGUGGAAAAAAGAUUUGGUACUGAUGAUAAGAGAAAAUCCUUGAUUGCAUCCUUGUGGAGGUACUGUACCAGUGGCAGCUGUCAUCGGUGGAACAGGG